GAUGCCUAUCCAGGAGAAUUUUCCUUUCAGACAUUAUACUUGAAAAAUUAUGGGUCCCUAUGUACCUAUAAUCCCAGUUACUCAGGAGGCUGAAGUGGGAGGAUCACUUGAGGCCAGGAGUUUGAGACCAGCCUGAACAACAUAGCAACACCCCAUCUCUUAAACAGCCUGAACAACAUAGCAAGAUGCCAUCUCUUUAAAAAAAAGUAACAAAAAAAAUUAUGCAUCCCAUUUUCCUUCUUCUUGACAUGUCUAGUAAUAUUAGGUUUUAUAGUGAAACAUUGUGGACUACUGAUUUUGAGUUUACGUUGUCUUUUCUUGAAGAGUAUUGAGUUUUGUCCUAUUAAGCAGUUAGGCCAAGUAUGGUGGCUUAUGCCUGCAAUCCUAGCAGUUUGGGAGGCCGAGGAAGAAGAAUCAUUUAAGCCCAGGAGGUUGAGGUUGCAGUGAGCUAUAUCAUGCCACUGCACUCUGGCCUGGGUGACAGAGUGGGACCCUGUCUCUAAAAAUAAAUGAAUAAAUAAAUAAUCUGUUAAAUUAGUACCAGAUUGUCUUGAUCUAGUCAGGCUUAGUUUUAUUCUUCAUCAGAAAUGGCCUUUUUAAAUUUUAUCCUUGGUCUUAAAGUGUGGUUUCUUGUUCUUCUUGUUGUUGUUGUUGUUCAUUGUUUCUAAAUUAUAAUUUUAGCCAAAAGAAUAUUCUUACAUAGAAAACGUGUGGAUCCAGAAUCUAUUUCUUUCAUCAAAUGUCAUUUCAAGUUAACUCUAACUUUUAAUAUACUUUAUUUUUUUUAGAGCAGCUUUACAUUCACAGCAAAAUGUAGUGGAAAGCACAGAGUUCCCACACACGCCCCUGCGCCACACAUGGAGAGCAACCCCCAUUAUCCAUCCCCCACCAGAGUGGUACAUUUGCUACAACUGAGGAACCUACAUUGACACAUCAUUAUCACCCAACAUUCACAGUUUACAUGAAGUUCACCCUUGAUGUUAUACAUUUUAUGGGUUUGGACAAUUUUUUUUUUUUUUUUUUUGAGACAGAAUCUCGCUGUG
rnacentral:lncRNA from 10 species